rnacentral:tRNA from 1 species
GGGGUUAUGGGCUAAUUUGGUUAUGCUUCGAGGUUUGGGACCUCGCGAUCCAGGUUCAAAUCCUGGUAACCCCA